UACGAACCGUCCAAACGUUAUUCGGAAUCACUGGGCUUACAGAGUUCGUAGGCGGUCUGGAAAGUUGGGUGUGAAAUCCCUCGGCCUAACCGAGGAACUGCGCUUGAAACUACCAGACUCGAGGGAGAUAGAGGAAAGCGGAACUGAUGGUGGAGCGGUGAAAUGCGUUGAUAUCAUCAGGAACACCGGUGGCGAAGGCGGCUUUCUGGGUCUUACCUGACGCUGAGGAACGAAAGCGUGGGGAGCGAACGGG
rnacentral:rRNA from 1 species